UACGAAGGGGGCUAGCGUUGUUCGGAAUUACUGGGCGUAAAGCGCACGUAGGCGGCUUUGUAAGUUAGAGGUGAAAGCCCGGGGCUCAACUCCGGAAUUGCCUUUAAGACUGCAUCGCUAGAAUUGUGGAGAGGUAAGUGGAAUUCCGAGUGUAGAGGUGAAAUUCGUAGAUAUUCGGAAGAACACCAGUGGCGAAGGCGGCGACCCUGGUCCGAUACUGACGCUGAGGC
rnacentral:rRNA from 1 species